GUUCUCGUGGCCUAGUGGUUAGAGCGUCUGCCUCAGAUGCGGGAGGUCGUGGAUUCAAUCACCGGUCGAGUCAUAACA